rnacentral:rRNA from 1 species
AUUGAACGCUGGCGGCAGGCCUAACACAUGCAAGUCGAACGAGUGGCGGACGGGUGAGUAAUGUCUGGGAACCUGCCUGAUGGAGGGGGAUAACUACUGGAAACGGUAGCUCAUACCGCAUACCAUCGGAUGUGCCCAGAUGGGAUUAUCCAGUGGGUGGGGUAACGGCUAACGUAGGCGACGAUCCCUAGCGGGUCUGAGAGCAUGACCAGCCACACUGGAAAUGAGACACGGUCCAGACUCAUACGGGUGGCAGCAGUGGGGAAUAUGGCACAAUGGGCGCAAGCCUGAUGCAGCCAUGCCGCGUGUAUGAAGAAGGCCUUCGGGUUGUAAAGUACUUUCAGCGGGGAGGCGUUACCCGCAGAAGAAGCACCGGCUAACUCCGUGCCAGCAGCCGCGGUAAUAC